CUUUUUGGUCUCCUUUGUCAUCUGAUUAGUCUUUAAAGAUGCAGCACUCUCUUUCCACCUCAUAAGGCCCUCAGUUCCUGAGAACUCAUCUUGAUCUCAUUCAGGAGAAAAGUAAAUCCCUCAAGAUCUUCCUUAUGAUGCUUACAGUCCAUGCUGCUCUUCCCAUGUGAAGAACUGACGUCAGUCAAAUUUGGCCCAAUCAAGAAAUCAAAGAAUAACAAAAGAAUUGCAAUGCAUUAAUAAAGACCUAGAUCCAUCCAGACUUUAAGAUCCUCUUCCAAAAGUCCAGUGGGAUACCUGAUUCAUCAUCCUGUCUUUCACCAGCCAAGGAAUGCAGAGCGUCCUGGUCAAGAGGCAAAGCUGGUCAGACAAGCUUCCGCCAGACCAAGAUGUCAGCAAUGACUCCAGCGUUCUAAAAAUCCAGAAGAUCACUACAAACAAAUGAAAAACUAAAAGUCUGGUAGAACAGAGGCCAUGACUGGGUGAGCCGCACUGUCUCGCUUCCAAAAAUUUACUCUUCAUGAAAAAUGAAAAUCAUCGUUUCUCAAAAGCAACCUACAGUAAAGUCAAGGUCUAUACACCAAAGAUAGAAAAAAUGAGAAAAAUAAAUGGAAAGAAUGAAGCAAAAAGAGAGCCAUGAAAGAUACAAAGAGAUGUAUUUAGAAAGUAGAAGGAUCAAGACACUGUGUGCCUCAGAAAAAAAGAAGAUAUAAUUAAGCUAAAGAUUUUGAGAUGGAAUAAUUCAGAGGAGGAGAAGAUAUGAAGCAGAAGAGAAGAAUCCCAUGUGAAGAAGGGUACAAUGAUUGAAGUUACACAGGCGCAAGUUGAAAAGGCUGAAGCCAUCAGAAUGUGGAAGAGGUUCAUCCAGAAUCAGCUUGGCUAUAGCUGGAAGCAAUUAAGAAUAUGCACAAGGGCCAGGAGCGGUGGCUCAUGCCUGUAAUCCCAACACUUUGGGAGGCUGAGG
rnacentral:lncRNA from 1 species